rnacentral:rRNA from 1 species
UACGUAGGGUGCGAGCGUUAAUCGGAAUUACUGGGCGUAAAGCGUGCGCAGGCGGUUUUGUAAGUCUGUCGUGAAAGCCCCGGGCUCAACCUGGGAAUUGCGAUGGAGACUGCAAGGCUUGAAUCUGGCAGAGGGGGGUAGAAUUCCACGUGUAGCAGUGAAAUGCGUAGAGAUGUGGAGGAACACCGGUGGCGAAGGCGGCAUCCUGGACCGGUAUUGACGCUGAUGCGCGAAAGCCAGGGGAGCAAACGGGG